rnacentral:misc_RNA from 1 species
GAUGAAGAACGCAGUGAAUUGCGAUAAGUAAUGUGAAUUGCAGAUUUUCAGUGAAUCAUCGAAUCUUUGAACGCACAUUGCGCUCCCUGGUAUUCCGGGGAGCAUGCCUGUUCGAGCGUCAUUACAACCCUCAAGCUCUGCUUGGUGUUGGGCCCCGCCGCCCCGGCGGGCCCUAAAGUCAGUGGCGGUGCCGUCCGGCUCCGAGCGUAGUAAUUUUUCUCGCUUUGGAGGCCCGGGCGCGUGCUUGCCAUCAACCCCCAAUUUUUUUCAGGUUGACCUCGGAUCAGGUAGGGAUACCCGCUGAACUUAAGCAUAUCAAUAAGCGGAGGA